rnacentral:rRNA from 1 species
UACGUAGGGGGCAAGCGUUGUCCGGAAUCAUUGGGCGUAAAGAGCGCGUAGGCGGCCCAGUAAGUCCGCUCUGAAAGUCAGAGGCUCAACCUCUGAAUGCGGGUGGAUACUGCUGGGCUAGAGUCCGGAAGAGGCGAGUGGAAUUCCUGGUGUAGCGGUGAAAUGCGCAGAUAUCAGGAGGAACACCAAUUGCGAAGGCAGCUCGCUGGGACGUUACUGACGCUGAGACGCGAAAGCGUGGGGAGCAAACAGG